AAUCAACGCUGGCGGCGUGCCUCAGACAUGCAAGUCGAACGCGAAAGUUCCCUUCGGGGAGCGAGUAGAGUGGCGCACGGGUGAGUAACACGUAGGUAAUUUACCUUCGGGUGGGGAAUAACAGCCGGAAACGGCUGCUAAUACCGCAUAAUGCAGCGGCUCGACAUCGAGACAGUUGUUAAAGCGGGGGAGUCGCAAGACCUCGCGCCUGAAGAGAAGCCUGCGGCAGAUUAGCUAGUUGGUGGGGUAAUGGCUCACCAAGGCGACGAUCUGUAGCCGGCCUGAGAGGGCGGUCGGCCACACUGACACUGACAUACGGGUCAGACUCCUACGGGAGGCAGCAGUCGGGAAUUUUGGGCAAUGGGCGAAAGCCUGACCCAGCAACGCCGCGUGAAGGAUGAAAUCCCUCGGGAUGUAAACUUCGCAAGAAU
rnacentral:rRNA from 1 species